AUGACAACAGGGGGAUAUUUAGAGGAUAUUUUUCUAAGACACAAAUAUUACUAUUUUUAUGGAGUUAGUGAUGAUGCCAGUACUACCUUGGAAAAUUCCCUAGCUCGCCUUUCCACUUUGGAAAAUCUCUCCAAUUCUCUGUAUCUGUGGCCAGGAUCAAAAGGAAUUUUCAAUCAGUUGUUCUGGAGGGUCAUUUCCUUGGAAGCAAACAGCACUUUCUUAUGUAUUAAUAAACUACCUCUGUAUGCUCUGGAAGGAAACAAUUUUAGAAGUAUCUACCGAACAAAGAAGAAACAAUGAACCUCAGUUGCCCCAGCAUAGUUGUGAGGUUGCUGUUACUUUGGAGCAUUCGCCUUAAUGACCAAAAGAGCUUCUAACUUGGGAGACAUUUUGGUCAAAGCAGAACUCGGAGUGUAGAGAACUUCAGCUGUGAAGGGAAACGUGUAUGGCACGAUUCUGAAUGGUUGCACGGCAGCUCUUCUUAGGAGUUCUGGAGGGUAUAAUGCCUCUUGCGACUCUAUUCGGAAUGACAUUGUUUUGCACAGCCCAGCACUCAGAGCUGUGCCUUAAAAUGCAAAACAUGGCAUUAUUAUGAAUGUUUUCUCAUCUCUUUGUUCUCCUUCCGUCUCAUUGCCCUGAAGCGAGUGGUUUUGUUUCAUUUCUUAUAUUCUGCACUAAUAUCAUUGGAUUAUUGCCACUGUGGGAUUUAGUAGUCAGCUCAAGCUGAACCAGUCAUUUUCUAGAAACUUUCUCAAUGUACUGAACACCUGAUUUUCAUUUUUGAUGUCCUGAAGAAUCAACAUACUUGAUGAGAUGCUACCAGUAUGGUGAUGCCCCUAAAAGUUUUGUCUCUAAACUGGUUUUAAGUCCCAUGAAAACUUAUUUGAUUAAAUGCUAUCAUUAUAGUGUCCCCAAAGAUUCAGUACCUUCAACUAAUUUCAAAUUUCUGUGCAGCUUUAUUUUCAUUUUGGCAACAUUUCACUGCAUAAAAUCACUCUCAUUUUUCAUACAGUAAGCAAAACCACUAGUCAUAUAAUGAUAAAGGUCACCUUUGAUCUCCUACAAGAAAAAAAAUGGUUUGACUUGAUAUGAAUGUGUGCUUUAUCUUAGCUGUAGUCAUUUGAAAAAUCAGCACCACAUUCAUUUUUGCUUCCUCUACCACCACCUAGAGGUGCAGAAUAAAUUUUUCAGUUCUAUCUGUCUUAAUUGUCA
rnacentral:lncRNA from 1 species